GGCACCUCUGGCUGUCGUAAGCCCUGAGGUUAACCAUCAAAUCUCCCAGAACCUUAGUCUGUUCUUUGCUCUCAGCUUGGGUCUGAAAUCUUAUUUUCAGUUAAGUCUAUAGGCUUUUCUGUGGGUGUUAUAUAUGAACCCUUACAUUUCAAAGGUUCCUCCAUGGCCUUUUAAAAGAACAUUUACAAGGUGGUUUGGCUGUGCUAGGACUGGAGGAUACAAGAAUUACGAAGAUGGUGAAAUGAAACUGUGUUGAGGGUUCCUCUUUGUUCUCUGGAAACCGAGGCAUGCCCUGUUCAUUAAUCUCAGCCUAGGAUCCAAGAUCCAGCCUGAAGCUCCCAUACAGUCUUGGGGAGGAACAGGCAUGGCCAGUAAUGGAGAGAAAGUCAGCAUUCAACCUGAGAAUGGGGUGUGUGGGGUUAUGUAAGGGGGAGAAGCUGAGGGCAGCAACCGAUGGCCACGCCCCCAGAGACUCCUUGUCAUUUCUCGUUACCAGUUCCAUGUGUGUCUCUUUUCUCCAGGCUUUGUAUGUUUUCUAGGUCACAGCUCUCUUGUUCUGACUAGAGAAGUCCUUGCCAGAAAGGACUAACUUUCACAGUGUGGCCAUCCUAUCAACGCAGCUUUAAUGCCUGCGACCCUGGAAACUGGAGCCAGGGAGCCAAGAGAGAAAUACGGAGGUGGGCAAAGGCCCAGGGAAGACUUCUGCAGGGGCAUGGAACGAGAAUGGAGACAAUCUCCACUUACAAUCUUGUCUCCAGUUAUUAGUCAUUAACCCUCUGGAACUAAGCUCACUUAAUUUAGUACCAUGCUGGAAGCCUUAUAACGUGACCUACUUCCGCAGGCCAGGGACGUCCAGGUCUUGAUCCUCAGUAAAUGCCUCCCUGUUGGAACACAAUUUGGUGUCGGCUCUUAGGAACUAAGAAGUGUGCCGAGUGGCAACCUGAUGCAGUAAGAUUUAUUAGCAAUCCAAUCGAAACAGGAAGAGCUGUGUACAGACAGGAGAAUCAGCUUGCUCAAGGUUACCCACCUGGUAAGUGAAGUAAGUAAAGCCAACUCUAUGACCCGAGACUUGUUCUUGUCCCAGGCUGCUAUACCUCCUGGAAUCAUUAACUCAUGGGUUUUUAAAAAAAUUAUUUAACAAUUUCAUAUAUGUAUAUAUUUUUGUCAUUUUCAUCUCUAUGGGUUUUGUCUUUCUUAAAGAUUGGGUGUUAAUUCCCAAGGUCACUUCUAGUCAUCAUUAAAAGUUAAUUUUGGUGGUACAUGCCUUUAAUCCUAGCACUCGGGAGGCAGAGGCAGGUGGAUCUCUGUGAGUUUGAGACCAGACUGGUCUACAAGAGCUAGUUCCAGGACAGCCUCCAAAGCCACAGAGAAACCCUGUCUUGAAAAACCAAAACCAAACAAACAAACAAACAAAAAACCCACAAAAAGUUAAUUUUAAGUUAAAAAACCAAAAAGAAAGGCCGUUUGGAUGGCUCAGUUGGUUAAGGCACUUACUAGCAAACCUGGUGACUGAAGUUCAAUUCCCAUGAUCUCCAUGGAAGAAGAGAGAACAGA
rnacentral:lncRNA from 1 species